AAAUCAAGGCAGUAAGAUGGAGAAGCCAGUCCUCUCUCCUCCACUGCAGGAUGUUCCAGAAGAAUUAAGAUCCAGAUGUGAUCGAGGAACUUCUCAUGACAGUGGAAAAACUCAGCCUGCCAAUAUUACUAAAGGGGAAAAAAAGGUUUUGAGGUAGAUAUCCUCCAGAUUUUGUUGGACAAGGGGGAAUUAAUAAUGUGGCAUAUGAGAUCAGUCCCAUAAUGAGGGAGAAAAGAUCAGAGG
rnacentral:lncRNA from 1 species